rnacentral:rRNA from 1 species
CCUACGGGCGGCAGCAGUGGGGAAUAUUGGACAAUGGGCGAAAGCCUGAUCCAGCCAUGCCGCGUGUGUGAAGAAGGCCUUCGGGUUGUAAAGCACUUUCAGUGGGGAAGAAAGCCUUGGGGCUAAUACCCCCGAGGAAGGACAUCACCCACAGAAGAAGCACCGGCUAACUCCGUGCCAGCAGCCGCGGUAAUACGGAGGGUGCGAGCGUUAAUCGGAAUUACUGGGCGUAAAGCGCGCGUAGGCGGUCUGAUAAGCCGGUUGUGAAAGCCCCGGGCUCAACCUGGGAACGGCAUCCGGAACUGUCAGGCUAGAGUGCAGGAGAGGAAGGUAGAAUUCCCGGUGUAGCGGUGAAAUGCGUAGAGAUCGGGAGGAAUACCAGUGGCGAAGGCGGCCUUCUGGACUGACACUGAUGCUGAGGUGCGAAAGCGUGGGUAGCAAACAGGAUUAGAUACCCGGUAGUC